rnacentral:rRNA from 1 species
AACGAACGCUGGCGGCAGGCCUAACACAUGCAAGUCGAACGCCCUAGCAAUAGGGAGUGGCGCACGGGUGCGUAACGCGUGGGAAUAUGCCCUUGACUACGGGACAACACAGGGAAACUUGUGCUAAUACCGUAUAAUGCCUCCGGACCAAAGAUUUAUCGGUCAAGGAUUAGCCCGCGUUAGAUUAGCUAGUUGGUGAGGUAAUGGCUCACCAAGGCGACGAUCUAUAGCUGGUCUGAGAGGAUGAUCAGCCACACUGGAACUGAGACACGGUCCAGACUCCUACGGGAGGCAGCAGUGAGGAAUAUUGGACAAUGGGGGAAACCCUGAUCCAGCCAUGCCGCGUGAGUGAUGAAGGCCUUCGGGUUGUAAAGCUCUUUCGGCGCAGAACAUAAUGAAUGUAUGCACAGAAGAAGCCCCGGCUAAAUUCGUGCCAGCCGCCGCGGUAA